rnacentral:pre_miRNA from 1 species
GCCGGAGGCAAGCCCAGCCACCGGCAAGGCUGAGCCUCGCCAGAUCUGGCGAGGCCGAGCCUCGCCGGUGGCUGGGCUUGCCUCCGGC